rnacentral:lncRNA from 1 species
GUCUAUAUGGGGUUUAUGGGGUCCUUAUGGGGUCUAUAUGGGGUCUGUGGGGUCGUUAUGGUGUCUAUGGGGUCCUUAUGGGGUCUAUGGGGUCCUUAUGGGGUCCUGCAGCCCAAGGGGUACACGCUGGCCACCACGCAGGUAAAUAUAUGGGGUCCUUAUGGGGUCUGUGGGGUCCUUAUGGGGUCUGUGGGGUCCUUAUGGGGCCCUUAUGGGGUCUGUGGGGCCCUUAUGGGGUCUGUGGGGCCCUUAUGGGGUCUAUGGGGCCCUUAUGGGGUCUAUGGGGCCCUUAUGGGGUCCUUAUGGGGUCUAUGGGGUCCUUAUGGGGUCCUUAUGGGGUCUAUGGGGUCUGUGGGGUCCUUAUGGUGUCUAUGGGGUCCUUAUGGUGUCUAUGGGGUCCUUAUGGGGUUUAUGGGGUCUGUGGGGUCCUUAUGGGGUCUGUGGGGUCCUUAUGGGGUCUGUGGGGUCCUUAUGGGGUCCUUAUGGGGUCUAUGGGGUCCUUAUGGGGUCCUUAUGGGGUCUGUGAGGUUGUUAUGGGGUCUAUGGGGUCCUUAUGGGGUCCUUAUGGGGUCCUGCAGCCCAAGGGGUACACGCUGGCCACCACGCAGGUAAAUAUAUGGGUCUAUGGGGUCCUUAUGGGGUCUAUAUGGGGUCCUUAUGGGGUCUAUGGGGUCCUUAUGGGGUUUAUGGGGUCCUUAUGGGGUCUAUGGGGCCCUUAUGGAGUCUGUGGGGCCCUUAUGGGGUCCUGCAGCCCAAGGGGUACACGCUGGCCACCACGCAGGUGAAGACCCCGAUCCCGCACCUGCUGCGUGGGACGUUACGCGAGUACCAGCACAUUGGGCUGGACUGGCUGGUCACCAUGUACGAGAAGAAGCUCAACGGGAUCCUGGCCGAUGAAAUGGGGCUGGGCAAAACCAUCCAGACCAUCUCACUGCUCGCACACCUCGCCUGCGAGAAGGGUGAGCACACAGCGGGCAUGGAGGGUCAAUGGGGUCUGUAGGGUCAGCGGGGGUAAUGGGGGUAAUGGGGGCAAUGGGGACAUUGGGGGCAAUGGG